UACAGAGGUCCCGAGCGUUGUUCGGAUUCAUUGGGCGUAAAGGGUGCGUAGGCGGUUUUUUAAGUUUGAUGUGAAAUCUCGGGGCUUAACUCCGAAACUGCAUUCGAUACUGCCGUGCUUGAGGACUGGAGAGGAGACUGGAAUUUACGGUGUAGCGGUGAAAUGCGUAGAUAUCGUAAGGAAGACCAGUGGCGAAGGCGGGUCUCUGGACAGUUCCUGACGCUGAGGCACGAAGGUCAGGGGAGCAAACGGG
rnacentral:rRNA from 1 species